UACGUAGGGGCAAGCGUUGUCCGGAAUGAUUGGGCGUAAAGGGCGCGUAGGCGGCUUUAUAAGUCUGGAGUGAAAGUCCUCUUUUCAAGGGAGGAAUUGCUUUGGAAACUAUAGAGCUUGAGUGCAGGAGAGGUUAUCGGAAUUCCCGGUGUAGCGGUGAAAUGCGUAGAGAUCGGUAUGAACACCAGUGGCGAAGGCGGGUAACUGGACUGCAACUGACGCUGAGGCGCGAAAGUGUGGGGAGCAAACAGGAUUAGAUACCCCUGUAGUCCCU
rnacentral:rRNA from 1 species